GUCCCGGUGGCCUAGUGGUUUAUAGUAUGAGACUCCCAUUCCCAUUGGGGUGGGCUCGAGUCCCACCCGUACCC